rnacentral:rRNA from 1 species
GUGCUUUCUGUGAAGCCGGGCUGUAAGGCAUCCGGUGGAGAGAUCACUAGUGAGAAUGAUGACAUGAGUAGCGACAAAGAGUGUGAGAGACACUCUCGCCGAAAGUCCAAGGGUUCCUGCUUAAAGCUAAUCUGAGCAGGGUAAGCCGGCCCCUAAGUCGAGGCAGAAAUGCGUAGACGAUGGGAACCACGUUAAUAUUCGUGGGCCAGGAGGAUGUGACGGAUCUCGACUGUAGUUUGCCCUUAUUGGAUUGGGUGAGCUGCUUAGAGGUUCCUGGAAAUAGCCCUCCAUGAGACCGUACCCUAAACCGACACAGGUGGACAGGUAGAGCAUACCAAGGCGCUUGAGAGAACUACGUUGAAGGAAC